UUAUGAUUUCAGAAAUUGUGAAUGUGAUUUACUUAUCUAUUUGAUUGAUAACUUGUUUAUGUAUGUGGGGUGAGGGUCGACACUUAAUUUGCAUGCUUAAACUUGAUGCUAGGGUAUAAGGGAAUUUCACCUAAUCGUUAUUAACUUGUAUUCAUAAGUAGUGAAAGUCGCUAGUCACGAUUGUGUUAAGUAAAUCCUAGGCAAGAGUAACAUGCGUAUCUCAUAGUUAUGAAUGCCUCGUCAAUGCUUAUGAUUUCCAU
rnacentral:lncRNA from 1 species